UACGGAGGGAGCUAGCGUUGUUUCGGAAUUACUGGGCGUAAAGCGCGCGUAGGCGGCUUUGUAAGUUAGAGGUGAAAGCCCGGGGCUCAACCCCGGAACUGCCUUUGAAACUAGGUAGCUAGAAUCUUGGAGAGGCGAGUGGAAUUCCGAGUGUAGAGGUGAAAUUCGUAGAUAUUCGGAAGAACACCAGUGGCGAAGGCGACUCGCUGGACAAGUAUUGACGCUGAGGUACGAAAGCGUGGGAGCAAACAGG
rnacentral:rRNA from 1 species